GACUAAGUGGCGCAGUGGAUAGAGCACCAGCCUUGAAGUCAGGAGGAGCCGAGUUCAAAUCUGGCCUCAGACA
rnacentral:tRNA from 1 species